rnacentral:lncRNA from 1 species
ACGGAGGCAGAUUUUGAUGAGUAUUGCGAAUUACUGGUUUGGCAUGGAACAUGAAAUGGCUUUGUACCAACUCAUUGGUGGGGAAAAAAGGGGCUGGCACGAGCAGAGACCCUAACUGGCUUAGCUGGAUGAGAUUCCUGAUUUCCAUAAUCUGUACCUGGAGGUUUAUACAGGAGAGGAUCACUGGGGCAGACUUGAACCAUGGUGCCCACAAGUGGGGAGGGUGCUCCAGCGGCCAUGGAAAGAACUUCCUUCUGCAGUUGGAGACAGCCUUCUGUGUGGGCUGAAGGACAGAGUGUGAUUUUCUACUUGGAAGAGACUCCAGGGCUCUGCAGAGAGGGAAGCCCUGCUGACCCAUUUCAGCAGACUGUGACACUUCAGCGACCUGCAAAUUCUACACAUUAGAGUUCAUAUUUUAUACAAACUCCGUACACCUAAGAUGUGGACUUAACAUUUCUACCAACAACAUCCAACUUCCAACAAAA